AACCAUUUCAAAAAAUCUUUCAUUUCCUACUAUCUAUUCUCGUUGUAGUUCUUCCAUGAAAACCUUUAAUUUGGAUGUCUCAGCCAUAUUUCGUCUCGUGCGCAACGGUUGUAAAUCAUUAUUGCUCCUACCAGAUUAUCGAAGCUAGCUCAGACUCAGAGAUCGUUGGGAAUACAUCAUCACACUAUUGAUCAUCUCGUUGGUACUUUUGGUAGCCUUGUAUAUAUGGUAUAUGGCAUGUAUAGGCUAGUGUUAUUUUGGUAUGUUUUGAGUCAUGAUAUUAGCCAUGAGAUUUGGCUUGUAAAUGUGGUAUGUAUAGCCAUUUAAGUUGGCUUGAAUUAUGUGUUUGGUAAGUUAUAUGAUGUAUAUAAUUCUUAUGUGAUGAUUUGAUAUGGGAUGUUGAAAUGGUAGGUUUUGUGGCAUGAAAUAGGUGUUAAGAUAAUGAAGAAAUGCAUUUAGAAGUUAUGCAAA